rnacentral:rRNA from 1 species
GAUCGGUUUGACGGUCUACGCAAGUAGCACUGUCGGGCUGGUCUUUCCUUCUGGGGAACUUGUAUGACCUUAACGGGUUGUACCUGGGAUCCAGGACUUUUACUUUGAAAAAAUUAGAGUGUUUAAAGCAGGCUUUUGCUUGAAUACAUUAGCAUGGAAUAAUAGAAUAGGACUUUGGUUCUAUUUUGUUGGUUUCUAGGACCGAAGUA